AUUAGAUAAAAAACCAAUGCCCUUCGGGGCUCCUUGGUGAUUCAUAAUAACUUAUCGAAUCGCAUGGCCUUGCGCUGGCGAUGGUUCAUUCAAAUUUCUGCCCUAUCAACUUUCGAUGGUAGGAUAGUGGCCCACCAUGGUGGCAACGGGUAACGGGGAAUUAGGGUUCGAUUCCGGAGAGGGAGCCUGAGAAACGGCUACCACAUCUAAGGAAGGCAGCAGGCGCGCAAAUUACCCAAUCCCGAUACGGGGAGGUAGUGACAAUAAAUACUGAUACAGGGCUCUUUCGGGUCUUGUAAUUGGAAUGAGUACAAUUUAAACACCUUAACGAGGAGCAAUUGGAGGGCAAGUCUGGUGCCAGCAGCCGCGGUAAUUCCAGCUCCAAUAGCGUAUAUUAAAGUUGUUGCAGUUAAAAAGCUCGUAGUUGAACCUUGGGUCUGGCUGGCCGGUCCGCCUCACCGCGUGCACUGGUCCGGCUGGAUCUUUCCUUCUGGGGGAGCCCCAUGGCCUUUAUUGGC
rnacentral:rRNA from 1 species